rnacentral:misc_RNA from 1 species
AAGUGCAAAUGAAAAAUUCAUGGUAAUUUUAGUUUGCAUAUCAGUUUUUUCCUUCAGCUUUACUCUGUUUGGUUACCGAGAAAAUUGUAGGAAAGAACUGAACUAUCUUUUUGUUUUGGUAUACUGAACUUGUGUUAGGUAAAAAGGAACUGGUGUAUUCAUUUAGUUAUAUAUGCUAAUGCUAGUGCAUUUGUGUAUAGUGUAGUUAUGGCUUCCGAGUUCAUAACAAAAUUGGAUUGUUUAAUCA